rnacentral:rRNA from 1 species
UUUUGUUAAGAAAAUUUAUUUAAUUGUUUCUUACUUUUGUUAAAUGUGGGUAGAUAUUUUAAGUAAAAUAUUGUAUUUUGUAUAAAUAAGUAAAAUAGUGAAAGUUUAUUAAGGGUUAUAGUUUAGUUUGUACUGUACAGGAUAUUUAAUUUAAUUAAUUUAAAGAAGAAAUUAAUUUUUGUACCUUUUGUAUCAGGGAUAAUCAAAAUGUUCAUUUUAUUAAUUGAAAUCUCGAAGUAAAGCGAGCGAGUAAACUAUUAUUGUUUAUGUGGAAAAAUGAAAUUAUAAAUAGUUUACUAGUGAUGAAAUGUUAGUCGAGCUUUAUAUAUCUAGUUUUUCUCGAGAAAAGUUUAAUUUAAUCCUUUAUUUUAAUAAAAUAAAGGUUGUAUUUUAAGGGGGAAGAGCUUCUUAAAAGUUUGAGAGUAUAGCAGAUAAAAUCUUUUUUCUUUUAGCUAGGCUUAAGAUCAGCCAAGUUUUUAAAUCGUUCUAGAUAAUAAGAAUUUAAUAAUUUAUUUAUAUUUUGCUUACUUAUAAAUAGAGAAAAAUUAAUUUUAAUUUAGUUUUUUAUAUUAUAAUGAUUAUAUUAGUAGAUUUGUUUUGUAUGUAAGUUAUUUAAAUUUAUCCUUAAAUUUUUAUAAUUAAGUAGUGUAGCUAAAAUUAAAGAACUCGGCAAAUUUUACUUCUGCCUGUUUAUCAAAAACAUGUCUGCAUGAUUUAGUUAAUGUGCAGUCUGGCCUGCCCCCUGAAUUUUUAAAGGGCCGCGGUAUUUGGACCGUGCUAAGGUAGCAUAAUAAAUAGUCUUUUAAUUGAAGUCUAGUAUGAAAGGUCGGACAUGAAGUAGGCUGUUUUAAUUUUGAUAUUUGAAUUUUACUUUUAAGUGAAAAGGCUUAAAUUGUAUGGUGGGACGAUAAGACCCUAUAAAGCUUUACAUUUUAUUUAUAUUAGUUGUGAAAGUUAAGGUUUUUUAUUCUUAUUAAAUAAAGUGUUUCGUUGGGGCGACGUAAAUAUAAAAAAGUAACUGUUUUUAUUCAAAAAUAUGUUUUUAUAGGUGAUUUGAUCCUUUAUAGAGAUUAUAAGAUUUAAGUUACUUUAGGGAUAACAGCGUAAUUUUUCUUGAGAGUUCAUAUCGACAGAUAUAGUUGCGACCUCGAUGUUGAAUUAAAAUAUCCACUAGAUGUAGCAGUUUUGGUGGUAGGUCUGUUCGACCUUUAAAAUUUU